rnacentral:rRNA from 1 species
GAUGAACGCUGGCGGCGUGCCUAAUACAUGCAAGUCGAGCGAACAGACGAGGAGCUUGCUCCUCUGACGUUAGCGGCGGACGGGUGAGUAACACGUGGAUAACCUACCUAUAAGACUGGGAUAACUUCGGGAAACCGGAGCUAAUACCGGAUAAUAUAUUGAACCGCAUGGUUCAAUAGUGAAAGACGGUUUUGCUGUCACUUAUAGAUGGAUCCGCGCCGCAUUAGCUAGUUGGUAAGGUAACGGCUUACCAAGGCGACGAUGCGUAGCCGACCUGAGAGGGUGAUCGGCCACACUGGAACUGAGACACGGUCCAGACUCCUAAGGGAGGCAGCAGUAGGGAAUCUUCCGCAAUGGGCGAAAGCCUGACGGAGCAAAGCCGCGUGAGUGAUGAAGGUCUUCGGAUCGUAAAACUCUGUUAUUAGGGAAGAACAAAUGUGUAAGUAACUAUGCACGUCUUGAAGGUACCUAAUCAGAAAGCCACUGCUAACUACGUG